UAUAAAGAGCCCUAAAAUGAUAAACAAAUUGCAUCGAAUUUCAUCUUCAUCUUAUUUAGGGAACUUAUCUGAAUUGGAUUGUGGUUUUCUUAAAGGUGCAAUUGUCGCAGCUGAAGCCGAAGAAAGGGAAGCCGAAUAAUACGUUUG